GAUGAACGCUGGCGGCGUGCCUAAUACAUGCAAGUCGAGCGAACAGACGAGGAGCUUGCUCCUCUGACGUUAGCGGCGGACGGGUGAGCAACACGUGGAUAACCUACCUAUAAGACUGGGAUAACUUCGGGAAACCGGAGCUAAUACCGGAUAACAUGUUGAACCGCAUGGUUUAACAGUGAAAGACGGUCUUGCUGUCACUUAUAGAUGGAUCCGCGCCGCAUUAGCUAUUUGGUAAGGUAACGGCUUACCAAGGCAACGAUGCGUAGCCGACCUGAGAGGGUGAUCGGCCACACUGGAACUGAGACACGGUCCAGACUCCUACGGGAGGCAGCAGUAGGGAAUCUUCCGCAAUGGGCGAAAGCCUGACGGAGCAACGCCGCGUGAGUGAAGAAGGUCUUCGGAUCGUAAAACUCUGUUAUUAGGGAAGAACAAAUGUGUAAGUAACUAUGCACGUCUUGACGGUACCUAAUCAGAAAGCCACGGCUAACUACGUG
rnacentral:rRNA from 1 species